CUUAUACUCCCUCCGUCUGAAAAUACUUGUCAUCAAAAUGGAUAAAAAGAGAUGUAUCUAGAACUAAAAAACCUCUAGAUACAUCCCCUUUCAUCCAUUUUGACGACAAGUAUUUCCGGACGGAGGGAGUAUUUA
rfam:Triticum aestivum genome assembly, contig: Triticum_aestivum_CS42_TGACv1_scaffold_147033_2BS